rnacentral:rRNA from 1 species
UACGUAGGGCGCGAGCGUUGUCCGGAAUUAUUGGGCGUAAAGAGCUCGUAGGCGGCCGGUUGCGUCUGCUGUGAAAUCCCGGGGCUUAACCCCGGGCGUGCAGUGGAUACGGGCCGGCUGGAGGCAGGCAGGGGAGAAUGGAAUUCCCGGUGUAGCGGUGAAAUGCGCAGAUAUCGGGAGGAACACCGAUGGCGAAGGCAGCUCGCUGGGACGGUACUGACGCUGAGACGCGAAAGCGUGGGGAGCAAACAGG